rnacentral:rRNA from 1 species
ACUUUAUUUGAUUUCCUUCGGGACUGAUUAUUUUGUGACUGAGUGGCGGACGGGUGAGUAACGCGUGGGUAACCUGCCUUGUACAGGGGGAUAACAGUUGGAAACGGCUGCUAAUACCGCAUAAGCGCACAGCAUCGCAUGAUGCAGUGUGAAAAACUCCGGUGGUAUAAGAUGGACCCGCGUUGGAUUAGCUAGUUGGUGAGGUAACGGCCCACCAAGGCGACGAUCCAUAGCCGACCUGAGAGGGUGACCGGCCACAUUGGGACUGAGACACGGCCCAAACUCCUACGGGAGGCAGCAGUGGGGAAUAUUGCACAAUGGGCGAAAGCCUGAUGCAGCGACGCCGCGUGAGCGAAGAAGUAUUUCGGUAUGUAAAGCUCUAUCAGCAGGGAAGAUAAUGACGGUACCUGACUAAGAAGCACCGGCUAAAUACGUGCCAGCAGCCGCGGUAAUACGUAUGGUGCAAGCGUUAUCCGGAUUUACUGGGUGUAAAGGGAGCGCAGGCGGUGCGGCAAGUCUGAUGUGAAAGCCCGGGGCUCAACCCCGGUACUGCAUUGGAAACUGUCGUACUAGAGUGUCGGAGGGGUAAGCGGAAUUCCUAGUGUAGCGGUGAAAUGCGUAGAUAUUAGGAGGAACACCAGUGGCGAAGGCGGC